CGGUAAACAGAGGGAAGCGAGCCUGCGAGGGGGAGCGAAUCCCAAAAAUAACGUCCCAGUUCGGAUUGUAGUCUGCAACCCGACUACAUGAAGCUGGAAUCGCUAGUAAUCGCGGAUCAGAAUGCCGCGGUGAAUACGUUCCCGGGUCUUGUACACACCGCCCGUCACACCAUGGGAGUCGGAAAUGCCCGAAGUCUGUGACCCAACCUACGGGAGGGAGCAGCCGAAGGCAGGUCGGAUGACUGGGGUGAAGUCGUAACAAGGUACC
rnacentral:rRNA from 1 species